UACAGAGGGGGCAAGCGUUGUUCGGAAUUACUGGGCGUAAAGGGCGCGUAGGCGGCCUUCUAAGUCGAACGUGAAAUCCCCGGGCUCAACCCGGGAACUGCGUCUGAUACUGGAUGGCUUGAGUUUGGGAGAGGGAUGCGGAAUUCCAGGUGUAGCGGUGAAAUGCGUAGAUAUCUGGAGGAACACCGGUGGCGAAGGCGGCAUCCUGGACCAACACUGACGCUGAGUGAGCGAAAGCCAGGGGAGCAAACGGG
rnacentral:rRNA from 1 species